rnacentral:rRNA from 1 species
UACGUAGGGUGCAAGCGUUAAUCGGAAUUACUGGGCGUAAAGCGUGCGCAGGCGGUUAUGUAAGUCAGGUGUGAAAUCCCCGGGCUUAACCUGGGAACUGCAUUUGUGACUGCAUCGCUGGAGUGCGGCAGAGGGGGAUGGAAUUCCGCGUGUAGCAGUGAAAUGCGUAGAUAUGCGGAGGAACACCGAUGGCGAAGGCAAGCCCCUGGGCCUGCACUGACGCUCAUGCACGAAAGCGUGGGGAGCAAACAGG